CCCCCCAGUGGAGGCCUCUUAAAGAAACAGGACGCCUUUCCCCCGCGGGCUACAGGGUCUGAAGGAACAAUAUUGUUUUAGCCUGGAUUCUCCAGAAAACAGAGCCUUUGGCAAGUUUGUAUGCUAACAACUUGCUGGGGAGUGCAACCUUGGAGAAACCAGAUUGAGAGAAAAAUGAGGCAAGAAGAAGAAGUGCAAAGAUAAGAGGCAUUACUGAGAGGACCCAAGUUUUGUAAUUAAUGGAGGUAACUGCUUGGACUCACAGUACAUCUUCAGAUCUUCAGAGAAGUUGUAUGAACUCCCUGUCUUGGAACAUCCUCAGGAGGAGAAACUGGAACACACUUUUUUCUCCUGCCUUUGGACACCGGAACUGUAGGUUCUCCAGGCUUUCCAGCCUCUGGACUUAACACCAGUCUCUGGACUUACAACAGAAGGCCCUGGAUUCUGAAGCCUUUGGCCUCAGACUGAGAAUUAUACCAGCAAUUUCCUGGUUCUGAGGUUUUUGGGCAGCCAUGCUACCAGCAUCCCAGUGUUUCCAGGAGAAGGCCUGUUGUGGGACUUCUCAGCUUCCAUGAGCAUGUAAGCUUGGUUAAAAGAACUCCAGAUGGCCUGGGAGCUACAGCACUCUUUGCCAAUUAUCAGAGGAAGAUAAGGCCUGUGUGAAACCAGGGCAAACCUGAACCAGCGACCCCGUGUUACCUUUAGAUCAUUAACAUAUCAUCAUAAUGCUAAAGCCUCACCCAUAGAAGAUAAUUGCUGCCAUUUUCUGAAUAUACAUUAUGUGAAGAAGCAUGUUCAUGAUCUGCACCUGCACGUCUGGAGUUCCUCCCUACACGUGUUUACCUACCUCCCUGCCCCACAUCUAACUCCUUAAAAUCCCCCAGGUUCUCGUAUCUCAGGGAGAAGGAGACUUUAGAGAAAGAGCUCCCUCCUCUGUUCCUGGCCAGGAAAAAACCUGCUUGCCCCUUUUCCCAAUUAGGUGUUACAGUAGAACUCACUUACCCUGUAACAAUAAGAAUUGCAUUAAAUCCUUAUAUCAACUUGGGAAGAAUUGACAGAUUUACCAUAUUAAGUCUUCUAAUCCAUAAGUAUGUUCAUUCAUUUUUUUAGAUUUUUGAAAUUUCUUUCAUCAGCAAUUUUGUAGUUCUUUGCCUCACUAUCUGGAUCCCAAAUAUUUUCUCCUAUGUUUUUUUUUUUUUCUGAGUUUUCUCUCUUACAAUUUAAACCUGAGUAGUUCUCAGCAUGCAAGCCCUGUACAUGUUUUGUUGGAUUUAAAUUUAAGUAUUUUGUUUUUUGAUACAUUGUAAAUGCUACUGUAUUUUAAACUUCAGUGCCCAUGUGUUCAUUGCUAGUAUAAAGAAAUACAACAUAUUCCAGCAGUCUAGCUGAACUCACUUAUCAGCUCUAGGAAUUUUUGUUUUUGAUUCUAUUUUUGGUAGAUCUUUGAGUUUUCCUACUUAGAUAAGCAUGUUAUCUGCAAAUAGGGACAGUUUUAUUACUACCUUUCUGAUCUGUAUGCCUUUUAUUUCCUUUUCUUACCUUAUUGCAUUGGGUAGAACUUCUAACACUGUUUAACAAUAAUGGUAAGAGCAAUCAUCCUUGCCCUGUUCCUGUUCUCAGGGUACAGUCAUUCACUCUUUCACUAUUAAGUAUGAUGCUGGCUGUGGAGUUGUCAUAGAUGCUCUUUAACAAGUUAGGACAAAUUCCCUCUAUUUCUAUUUUUCUGAGCAUUUUUAAACCCAUGAAUGGGUAUUUUGUCAAAUGCUUUUUCUGUAUUGAUUGGUAAGAUCAAUUUUCUUUUGUAUCCAGUUAAUAUGUUGGAUUAUGUUGACUGAUUUGUGAACAGUAAAACAGCCCUGCGUUCCUGCAGUAAGCCUCACUUUGUUACAAGAUCUUUGGGGUGUUGCUUUUCUGGCCAGAAACCUCUGUGGCCAGUGGCCCCUUUGCCCAAGUUUUGUUUGGGCCCACUGGGCUCCUUCUGCCCACUUGGCCUGGAAGGCUGUGCUCAGCUCAUGCUACCAGCCUGGAUCCCACAUCUGCCAAAGGCAAGUCAGGCAUGGAGUGGCAAGGGGUGUGAGAGCAAGUGUGGGGUCUGGUCACUGUGCAGUCACACAUGUCAGCUGCUGCAGUGGGGUGGGCAGCUCCAGGUGAGGCCUCUGUGAGGCUGUGGCUGGGCCAGGCACACUGCACGCAGCUUCCACAGCUGGAACCGGGGGAACACAGUGGUGCCUGGAAGCUUGGAGAUGCCAGGAACCACGGGGCUCCCAAAAAGGAGUCAUAGACCGGGCUUGGGGAGCUCCAAGGUCUGGGAUCCCCUAAGGGCCACAGCUGUUCUUUCUUUCUCUUCACCCUCAAUGUAGUGAGCAAGGGGCAUGUUUCAACCCUGUUUGUGUUACAGCCCUUUUAGCCCCGCCAUUCAAUGGGUCCCAAGUUCUUGUCCUAUAACCAGGAAGAAUGAGAUAUGCAGACAAGUGGAGGCUCUGAGCAAGAUGAAAAGGAGCUUUAUUGAGUGAUAGAACAGUUGAGAGGAAACCUGCAGUGGGUAACUCCUUUCCACAGCCAGGGUGUCCUGAUGAGUGUUCAGCUCCUAGCAAAGAGGAGACCCUGGAGUGGGAAGCUCCUCUUUGCUUGCAGGUGGUCCCAUUGUCUCUGCAGCUCUCAGCAGAGAGUAGGCUCUGGAGUGGGUAGCUCCUCUCUGCUGUUGGUCAUCCAAGUGUCUGCUCAGCUCUGGUUGAGCCCAGCGGUAUUAUGGGCUUCAGAGAGGGAAAAGUGUAUGCCAGCUGGUCCAUGGGUAGCCAUGGGCAGGCCCAGAAAAGGCACCACAAGCUCCCACUCUGGUCUGUGGGGCUGGCAGCCCGACUCCAGCCUUCAGGCCCUCCUUGGCCUGAAGGUGGGGCCUCACUGGGGAUCUGCCCCCUUCUGCCCCAGAGCCUAUCGGCCUCCUGCCACUGUCCAUGGCACCCAGGCUGCUCACAGCAAGGGGCACCUGCAGGCCAGCGCAAGCCACCCUCAACUUGGUCAUUGUGUAUACUUUUUUUUACAUUGUUGAAUUCUACUUGCUAAUUUUAAAAAAUGUUGCAUCUAUAUUCAUGAUAUUAGUCUUUUGUUUUUUGUACUAUCUAUCUUUUUUUUUGGUUUGAGUACUAGCUUUUAGUACUAGCUUCACAAAAUAAAUGGGAAAGUCU